UAUCAUCUUCGAAGCGCGACCACCGAUCCAGAAACUGGGUUGGCGAUCGCGCUUCGAUUCUUUCUGACA
rnacentral:sRNA from 1 species